UCAACAGCUGUGCACACCUGCCAACACACCUGCCACGCCCCCCGCCUUCCCAGAUGCGCUGGCAGCCUUCUCAAAGAUGUCAACUCAGGAUAAAUUGUCAACGUCGCCCUCCGGUGGCUUUUCCCCCGGCGCAGUUCCAGCAGCCGCAGUUCCAGGCGCCCCUUUCUCAGCCGCCCUCCAUGGUCAUGCAGCAGCAGCUUCCACAGCAAUCGCAGCCUAGACAGAUAAUUGCAAACAAUGUACACAUCAAUGCACAAAGAUAAACAAGGCAAUAAGUGACAAAUAUUUUCUAGUAACUGCAAGAAAGAUAGAACAUUAGAUAGAAGAAAAAAAAAAAUUGAAAGGAAAAGAAUUAUGAGAAAUACAAAUACAAAUAUAAAAGACUUUCGUAACAGAUGUGAGAGAUUUCCUUCCUCCCCCACCCCCCCAACCAAAAAAUACAAAAAAAUAGAUAUAAAAAAAGGAAAAAAUAAGUGGUUGAUGAUGACUGAUGGAUGUUUGUUUAGUUUAGUUGUGUUGCAAUGGCCGGGUCAGAGACACAGGUGUGCUUCGAGUGGCCUCUGUGAGCAAGUGACGGCUGAGGAGACAGCACCAACAACAACCAACACUUAUGUAAUGCUUUUGUGACGAGAUGUUGAGUCAUUGUGUUAAUUUAUGAAAAGUCGGUGGUUUGUUACGUUUUAUUUUUUAUUCUUUUAUUUAUUUUUUAUUUACUUAUUUUUUAAUUCUUUUGUGUAUGUGUAUAGGAUGCUAUGCAGCCUUGCUGUAUAGUCAUAUGAAAUUCUAGACACAAAAAAAUUCUGUAACAGUUUCUGGUCCUGUCAUUUUUUUUGGUAAUUUUUUUGUAUUGUAAUAUCACGUCUUCAAGCCAUGUUACUAUUUUGUCACUUUCUUUGGCAUAUGAUGUUUUUGUCAUUAGUAUGAUUAUUUUCUCUGUCGUGCUCCUUCGUCUAUGGUUGUAAAAGGAAGAAUUUGUAAUUGCUAAUUUGCAUAAAUUGUAGUUUGGUCCUGUAUUUGUUUUCAUUGUAGUAGAAAUGAAGGCAUUGGUUGGAAACUCUUGUCCUUUUUUUCUAUAGUUUACAAGAGGAAAUUUAGAAAAAAAAAAAAAAAUGUUACAAGAGAAAGAUUAUACAAGAAUUUUUUAAAGGAAUUCCUCUCUGCAACUGCUUUUUUUAUUUUCUUAUUUUAAUUAUAAUUAUUAUUACACAAGAAAUGAUUUAUCAGAAUGGCCUUUUUCAAUUUUGUCGGUUUUCUUUUUAUAGCUGCAUCUUAUGAAAAUAUCAAGUGCUUCCUUACUUUUUUUUAUUUAGUUACUAUGAUGAUUUUUUGUAUUGAUUAAAGGGAAAAUUAGAGGUCAAAAACACAAAUUGCCCAUGGUAACCUCAAUAGUUUUUAAUGUACAAAUGUGGGGAUUGUUUUUACGGAAAUUCUUUUUAAUGUGAUUGGAAUGUAAGCCUUACUUAUUUUUUAUUUUGUAUUUGCCCUUUUUUUUAUGUCGGCAAAUAAUUUUGAAAAUGUAGUAGCUGUGGUUAUAUUACAUAUGAAAUUGUGGCAUAAAUGAAUGUUUCUGUAUUGUUUUAACGCUAUUGCCAUUAAAAGGAAAAUUGAUUAGAUAAAUGGAAAAGUAAACUUGUAAGAAUGGAUUUUUUAAUUAAAUGUGAUGUGUUUGAAAAUAGCCAAAAAAAAAAAAAAAAAAAAACAUUAAAAAGAAAAAAAAUCAAGUGAAGAGGAUAAGAUAGUGAUGGGUUUUAAUAUGAGAAAGUAAUGGUUCGUUUCCUUUCCCAUUUUUGCCUUUUUUCCCCCUCCAUAUGUUCAUUUUCUGAUAUCUAAUCUCCCUCCUUUGCAAUGGCAGAGAGAGGAGGAAAAAGAAAAACAAAUGACGAAGGUCUUGCACUAGUAAAAUUAAAGGGAUGAGUGUUUGCUUAUCUGCCUACACUCUUAUGGCUUAAUAAUACUAAGAUUCAUUCAAGAAAAAGAAGAGGAAAGAUGUUGGUUGCUUUCUUUCUUGGCUCAUUUCUUUCAUCAUAUAUAUUCCGAGCUUGCAGAACGGUUUGUUUGAGUGGAUUCAGGUGGAGAGGAAAUCAGAGUUAGCUUUCGUUUGAAUCAUUGUUUCCCUGCACGAUUUGAGAAGUACAACCACAAGCAUUUUGGGUCAUGCGUUAGAGUUGCAUUUUUCGCGAAUGUGUCAAAAGGUUUCGAUGUCCAGCGUUGCUAUGGUUGUGUAAAGCCUUAUGUUUAUGUCUUGUUUAUGUCGAGGAGGGAAGGCUGUUCCAUAGUGUUCAGGGCCAAUAUAUUGUUAUUUUAUUAAUUUAAUUUCUUGUUAUUAUUUUUUUUUUUUUUUUUUUUUUUUUUUUUUUUUUUUUUUUUUUUUUACUUAUUUAUUAUAUUUUCUUGGGGGAUGCUUCUUGAACUAGUGGGAAAUUCAUAUACCCAUGGACACAGCUUUUAGUUUUACAAAUAACUUGUUUCUCAUUAGUGAAAUAUGUAAUUUUGCUUUUAUUUAUUGACUCAAAUAGUUUAUGGAGUGGGAGCAUGUUAUGUUAUUUUGAAUUGUCAAAAGAUUAGGUUAAUUUGUUGUACAGUUCUAAAGCCACUUCAAGAAAUGUGUAGGAUGGACACAGCUUGGCUUUGUUUCCUGUAAGAUUCCAUCUUGCAUCUUGAUUUGGUAAGAAAUGUUUAUCAGUUGUUAAUAAGUUUGUCCCAUACUUCUCUCUCUCUCUCUCUCUCUCUCUCUUCUUAUCUUUCUCCUCCUGCUCAUGCCUUCUCCCUUCUCAUCCCCCCUCUCUCUCUCUCCUAUCCUCCUGCUCCAUCUCUGUCUUUUUUUUUCUCUCACUCAUUUUUGUUUUGGCUUAGUUGAAAAGGACAAUUUCAACAGAGAAGGAUGGAAGUGUUUUAGUGAUUUGUAUUGCACAUACCAUGUACUGGAUUCACAAAAUUGGGGAAACAACGAAGGAGUCUUUGUAUCGAAGUAAGAGCCAUUCGAAGUAAAUCACCUGUUACAAGAGAAUGAGAUUGUAUCUUCCUUUGUGUUUUACUGCGGUUUCUGGUCACAAACAGUUUGCAUACAUUUUGUUAGAGUUGAUGUUAGACUCUGUCACUACUUCUAGAAUCUGGUUACUAGAAUUGUUUUUCCUAUUGUAGUUUGUAUGUUAUUCUUAGUACCUAAUGAUGCUCAAUGUUAAUGAUGAAAGUGUAAGAAAACUACAGUUAUUGAAGAUAGUAAAUUUUACAAAGCAAACCUACAGUCAGUUUCCUUUUUGUAAGUAUUAUGCCAUGGGUGGAUGAAAUUAUGGUAAUCUUAUGGUAAUAUAAUAUUAAUUAUUCUGUUAACAUGAAUUAACAAAGGUAUUACUGUCUUUUUUUCUCCAUUUUUAGUGAGAAAAGGUUGGUUAGAUUUUCAAACACAAUAGUACAGCAUUACUAUUAUUUUCUUAUGAAAUGCAUUGUGAAUAUUAAUGCAGUCUCUUGCAUGGUUUAACAAGUGGAAUUGUGACAUAUUUGUUGCAGCAAUAUAAGGGAAACAUUGCAAAUAGUAUGUUAGGCCACUAGAGGUAUUUUCAUGCUAAGGCAUAAACUUACUUGUAUCCACACUUUGAAAAUAGAAAAUGUUUGUCAGUUACUAUUCUACAGUUUAUGUCAUGUAUAUAAAUGUAUGAUAGGCCAGAAUGUUAGGGAUGAAGAGAGGAAUAUUAAACAAGUCAUUUCUGUCACAGGCUACUUUUGAACAAUUAAUUAAACCAGAGUAGCCAUGACAGAAAGCAGUCCCAGUUCAAGAUAUUCAUUUUAGAAUAUCGACCACAUAUUAUUGGCAGGAGUUUUCCAAAGUGUCUACGCGAUGAACUCAAUUUAACUGAAAACCCAUAUUUGACUUCCGCCACUUCUUUCCCGGAAGUCAGAAGGUCGACUUGGUUAAUCACACAUGGAGUAUAAGUGUUUUGUAAUUUUUUUAUCAGCUGUUAUUUCAGUAUGUUUUUUUUUUUUUUUUUUCUUUUUUUGUAUUUUAAAAAAAUUAUGGUUUAAAAAGAAUUGUGGUGUGCAAACCAUGGUGUCAUCACAGUACAUCACUCUCCAUCUUGUGAAGAAGUUUCUAGUAAGUGCAACUAGGUAUUAUAUUCUCCUAAUGUGCUCCUUUUAAUGGAGUAUGUGUCAAUGUGUAUCAUAGAUUUCAGUUUAUUAAAAAUGAUGUAUAGAAAUGCA
rnacentral:lncRNA from 1 species